GGCUGGUGCCCCGGGUGCGGGACAGGGGCUGUGCCGGGUGGGAGCUGGGGGUGCAGACAGGGGCCGGGGCCUGUGUGUGGGUGACAGCUCUGCUGCCCCUGCUGCCCCACGGCCGGGGGUUGUGGCACAGUCUGUGCGAUGGACACACUGUUGUACCAGACGGGCUGGGCAUGUGCCAGGCUGCGACGUGCCCCCGGCUCUGCGUUUGGCAAGGCCCGGUGGGGCUUUGCCCUUCUCCCCUGCACACCAAGGGGGGGUGUGUGCCAGGCUGCGACGUGCCCCCGGCUCUGCGUUUGGCAAGGCCCGGUGGGGCUUUCCCCUUCUCCCCUGCACACCGGGGCGGGGGUGCGUGUGCCAGGCUGCGACGUGCCCCCGGCUCUGCGUUUGGCAAGGCCCGGUGCGGCUUUGCCCUUCUCCCCUGCACACCGGGGCGGGGGUGCGUGUGCCAGGCUGCGACGUGCCCCCGGCUCUGCAUUUGGCAAAGCCCGGUGUGGCUUUGCCCGUCUCACGGUGGAACUGCCAGGGACUGGCACGAGGUGCUGCCCGGCCGGGAGUGGCUCCUUCACUUGGUUUCUCUCCAGUCCUGUGCGGUGCUCAUAGCGUGGGGUGCCCAGCGUCCCUGGAAGCCCCAGAUCCUGGAGUCAGGGCUUGCGGGCGGCACCUCUUGCUUUCCCUUCCCAAAGUUUCUAGCCCUGCAGGCUGUGGGCGCGGCCUGGCAGCGUGCCCGACAGAGGCCCACGCGCGGAUGAGACGCUCUCGUGGCCGGCAGCCCCAUCUCGGGAAUUUGGAGUCUCGUGAAUGUGGACCAUGUGGCCAGCCAGGCUUUCCCGGCGGGACUUGGGCGGUCGCCUGGCCCAGUGCGAGCUGCUCGCGCCAUUCCCCAGAGCGCCCUGACUUACCCCCGUCUCCAUCCCCGGCUGGCCCCCUUCUGCGCCAGCAUCGGGCUUUCUUCCAGCCCCAGGCGAGGAAAUUCCCUGCCCCUCUGCUCGCUUGGUCCCGCUCCGAGCCGUGUUUCCAGCCGGCCACGCCCCUGGUGUCACCCCGCUGGGAUUAGAAAAACCGUAGGAAAUUCUCAGCCCAACAACUUGGUGUGGCUGGGCGAGUUUGUGGGCUGGGGGUUGUGUACGUCUCUGUCUGUUGUAUACACCCCCUCGUUUGGGCAAGUACUGAGAGCAUUUGGCUUGUGUGUGUGUGUUACACUCGCACAUAGUGUGUAGUGUGGUAUGUUACACUGUGGGCGUGUGUAGAGACAGUAUAUUAUAUAUCUUCUGGGCGUGUUGAUGGCAGUGUGUUGUGCUGUCUCUAGAUACGCACAUGGGUGUAUAUAGCAUACUGUGCAGAUGGCUGUAUAGAUAGUGUGCUAUAUGCAAACCUUGUGUGUGAGUAUGUAGACAAUAUACACCCUGCGUGUUUGUGUGUACAUUGUAUACUAUGUGUGCAGGCGGGGGGAGACGUAUGUAUAGCAUCAGUAUAUUACCUACCCGCUGUGUGUAUUGACACAAUAUGACAUACUCUGUAUGUUUGUAUGUGUGUGAGCACGUGUGUGAGAAAGUGUCAACAUAUUAUAUAUACCAUGUGCAUAGACAAUGUGUUACACGCCCCGGGGGUGUGAUCCCCGCUCUUUGUGUUAGGUACGGGUGUGAAGUGUGUCUGUACGCUGACAGUGAGUUACACGCCCCGGGGGUGUGAUCCACGCUCUGUGUGUUAGGUACGGGUGUGGGGUGUGUCUGUACGUUGACAGUGUGUUACAUGCCCCGGGGGUGUGAUCCACGCUCUGUGUGUUAGGUAUGGGUGUGGGGUGUGUCUGUACACUGACAGUGUGUUACACGCCCCGGGGGUGUGAUCCACGCUCUGUAUGUUAGUUACGGGUGUGAGGUGUGUCUGUACACUCAGUGUGUUACACGCCCCGGGGGUGUGAUCCACGCUCUGUGUGUUAGGUACGGGUGUGAGGUGUGUCCGUACGCUGACAGUGUGUUGCACGCCCCGGGGGUGUGAUCCAUGCUCUGUGUGUCAGGUACGGGUGUGGGGUGUGUCUGUACGCUGACAGUGUGUUGCACGCCCCAGGGGUGUGAUCCACGCUCUGUGUGUUAGUUACGGGUGUGAGGUGUGUCUG